rnacentral:rRNA from 1 species
GACGAACGCUGGCGGCGUGCUUAACACAUGCAAGUCGAGCGGUAAGGCCCUUCGGGUACACGAGCGGCGAACGGGUGAGUAACACGUGGGUGACCUGCCUCUAGCUCUGGGAUAAGCCUGGGAAACUGGGUCUAAUACCGGAUAUGACUCCACGGCGCAUGUUGUGGGGCGGAAAGCCUUGUGUGGCUAGAGAUGGGCCCGCGGCCUAUCAGCUUGUUGGUGGGGUGAUGGCCUACCAAGGCGACGACGGGUAGCCGGCCUGAGAGGGCGACCGGCCACACUGGGACUGAGACACGGCCCAGACUCCUACGGGAGGCAGCAGUGGGGAAUCUUGCGCAAUGGGCGAAAGCCUGACGCAGCGACGCCGCGUGAGGGAUGACGGCCU